GGAGGGUGCAAGCGUUGUUCGGAAUUACUGGGCGUAAAGCGCGCGUAGGCGGUCUCUUAUGUUCGGUGUGAAAGCCCUGGGCCCAACCCAGGAAGUGCGCCGAAAACUGAGAAACUUGAGUACGAGAGAGGAGAACGGAAUUCCUAGUGUAGGGGUGAAAUCCGUAGAUAUUAGGAGGAACACCAAUUGCGAAAGCAGUUCUCUGGAUCGAUACUGACGCUAAGGCGCGAAAGCGUGGGUAGCAAACAGGAUUAGAUACCCUGGUAGUCAACGCCGUAAACGAUGGAUACUAGUUGUUGCAAGCUUAUAAACUUGCGGUGACGCAGCUAACGCAUUAAGUAUCCCGCUGGGGAGUACGGCCGCAAGGUUA
rnacentral:rRNA from 1 species